GCAUCCACAAAGACUGCCUGCAUUCCUACAGUUGUCUUAUAAAAUGCAAUUAAGUUAAUAGGAUUACAAGAAAACAUCUAAAAAUGAUCUAGAAAACUUCACAUAGAAAGAUUUCUGAAUGAACUGAAGUUAUAAUUUCCUCCAUAUGUCAUCACAAGAUUAUCUGCACCAUGAACUUUUAUAAAGAAUCGCACAACUAUUAAGAUAGUUUGUGCAGCAACUCAAUAACUACUGUUGAUAUUUUGAAGUCCACAUAUCCCUAUACAAAUGUCCACAAAAGAUUUCUGAAAUUCACCAAAGUCCUAACUUCCUCCAUACAUCCAUCACAAGAUUAUCUGCACCAUGAACUUUUAUAAAGAAUCACACAACUAUUAAGACCGUUUGUGCAGCAACUCAAUAACUACUGUUGAUAUUUUGAAGUCCACAUAUCCCUAUACAAAUGUCCACAAAAGAUAUCUGAAAUGCACUGAAGUCAAAACUUCCUCACAUAUACCAAUCAAAAGAUUGUAUGCGGCAUUAACUUCUCUAAAGUGUACAACUGAUUAAAAAAGAAAUAGUGACAACAACAUUCUUCUGAACUAUCAAUUCAAAAAAUGUUCUGAAAAAACUUUAAACCUAUGCAGGCAGUCAAUAGUCAAUUGUUAUUUUACAACUGAAUACAUAAUCUCCACAGUAACAAUGUUGAAUGGAUGGCUUGUAUUACAUUUGGCCUAUGUAUAGUUACUUUAAUAUGUGCCAGCCAAAAGAGGAUGGCCUGCCCCUGCUGAGUCUGGUUCCUCUCAAGGUUUCUUCCUUUGCCACUACGCUGAUUAUGCUCCAGCCCUUGGUCCAUGAUGUUCCACACUGCUAUCUAUGGGAGUUUUUCCUUGCCACUGUCGCCUUUUUGGCUUGCUCACUGGGGUAUUAAGGCACAACAUGUUAAA